AGCAGCCGCGGUAAUUCCAGCUCCAAUAGCGUAUAUUAAAGUUGUUGCAGUUAAAAAGCUCGUAGUUGAAUUUCGGGAUCAAUACGUCGGUCGUGCUUCGGUACGUACUAACGUUAUUGAUUUCUCCCUUCUGACGAAUCGUGAUGUCAUUAAUUUGGUGUUACGGGGAGUUAGGACUGUUACUUUGAAAAAAUUAGAGUGUUUAAAGCAAGAAAUCGCUCGAAUACAUUAGCAUGGAAUAAUGAAAUAGGACGUUCGAACCUAUUUUGUUGGUUUCUAGGAUCGACGUAAUGAUUAAUAGGGAUAGUUGGGGGCAUUAGUAUUCAAUUGUCAGAGGUGAAAUUCUUGGAUUUAUUGAAGACUAACUACUGCGAAAGCAUUUGCCAAGGAUGUUUUCAUUAAUCAAGAACGAAAGUUAGGGGAUCGAAGACGAUCAGAUACCGUCGUAGUCUUAACCAUAAACUAUGCCGACUAGGGAUCGGAUGAUGUUAAUUUUAUAAUGACUCAUUCGGCGCCUUAC
rnacentral:rRNA from 1 species